rnacentral:rRNA from 1 species
UACGUAGGGUGCAAGCGUUGUCCGGAUUUAUUGGGCGUAAAGAGCUCGUAGGCGGUUUCGUAAGUCGAGAGUUAAAUCAUCAGGCUCAACCUGGUGCUGCUCUCGAUACUGCGAUGACUUGAGUGUGGCAGGGGAGAACAGAAUUCCACGUGUAGCGGUGAAAUGCGCAGAUAUGUGGAGGAAUACCGAUGGCGAAGGCAGUUCUCUGGGCCAUUACUGACGCUGAGGAGCGAAAGCGUGGGGAGCGAACAGG